UCUUGACAAAACUAAAAGAUGGCGACCGGCGCACGGGUGAGUAACACGUAUCCAACCUGCCGAUAACUCGGGGAUAGCCUUUCGAAAGAAAGAUUAAUAUCCGAUGGUAUAUUAAAACCGCAUGGUUUUACUAUUAAAGAAUUUCGGUUAUCGAUGGGGAUGCGUUCCAUUAGUUUGUUGGCGGGGUAACGGCCCACCAAGACUACGAUGGAUAGGGGUUCUGAGAGGAAGGUCCCCCACAUUGGAACUGAGACACGGUCCAA
rnacentral:rRNA from 1 species